UCCGCAGUGGUCCAGUGGUUAGGACUCUGCACUUUCACUGCUAAGGGUGCAGGUUUAAUUCCUGGCCAGGGAA
rnacentral:tRNA from 1 species